GAGGGAGAAGCUACUUUCGGGCAGUGGAGACCGGCAGACGGGUGAGUAACACGUGGGAACAUACCUAGUAGUGGGGGAUAACAGUUGGAAACGACUGCUAAUACCGCAUACGCCCUUCGGGGGAAAGAUUUAUCGCUAUUAGAUUGGCCCGCGUUAGAUUAGCUAGUUGGUAAGGUAACGGCUUACCAAGGCGACGAUCUAUAGCUGGUUUGAGAGGAUGAUCAGCCACACUGGGACUGAGACACGGCCCAGACUCCUACGGGAGGCAGCAGUGGGGAAUAUUGCGCAAUGGAGGAAACUCUGACGCAGCCAUGCCGCGUGAGUGAAGAAGGCCUUAGGGUUGUAAAGCUCUUUCAGACGUGAUGAUGAUGACAGUAACGUCAAAAGAAGUUCCGGCUAACUUCGUGCCAGCAGCCGCGGUAAUACGAAGGGAACUAGCGUUGUUCGGAUUUACUGGGCGUAAAGAGCAUGUAGGCGGAUUGGUCAGUUGGGGGUGAAAGCCCGGAGCUCAACUCCGGAACGGCCUUCAAUACUGCCAGUCUAGAGUCUGU
rnacentral:rRNA from 1 species